rnacentral:lncRNA from 1 species
AUUCUUAAUUUGAAGAGAUUUCUUUGUAGGUAUAAACUAUAGAUAGUAUAGUGUGUUUACUAUAUAACUUAUGGUGUUCAUCAAUUUGGCUAUUCUCAUGUGACCUAGAUGCUUGGUGACACAGUAAUUUGUAGAUUUGCUGAGGCACACUCUAAAUAGGUCUAUAACACAGCUAAUGAGGGUAGUAGGUCAUUUUCGUCAAUAAGAAUGCCUCACAGAGGACCAGGAGCCACAUCUUUACUAAGCCUUGUUGCUAUGUUUUGCUUUGGUGAUGUUUGUAAUUUAUGAUGCAAAUCAUAUACCGUAGUUAAACUUUUUUAUUAGGAGAUUCAGGAUGGUCUCAGGAGAUAACAUCAGAGAUAAUCAGUGGUCUAGAGUUUUGUGUGUGUGUCUGUGUCUGUGUGUGUUAAUCCCAUUUGUAAAAGGAGACCAGAAAUAUUCUGGAAAUAGGGCCUAUUAGAGACAUAAAAGAGAGAUUAUUUCACUUAUCUUCAUACUCUACCCUAUAGAAGCUAUAGAACACAGAUUCUUUACGUAAACAUGCAGGCAUAGGCUAGAAUCCAGGUAAUUUUCUCAUGUAGCUUGUUACUCUAGCAUAUACUGGGUUGAUAACAUCAUUAAAAUGAAAACUUGUGAACAGAAUGUGUUUUUUAAAAGGUGUUCAACAUUUGCUUUAUUGGUAUUUUUUUUCUUUCCCUCUUUUUAGAGCUGCACCUGUGGCAUAUGGAGGUUCCCAGGCUAGGAGUCUGCACCGGCCUACACCAGAGCCACAGCAAUGCCAGACCUGAGCCACACCUGUGACCUACAUCAUAGCUCACGGCGACGCCAGAUCCUCAACCCACUGAGUGAGGCCAGGGAUCAAACCCGCAAGCUCAUGGUUCCUAGUCGGAUUCGUUUCCACUGCGCCACAACUGAAAUCCCUCAAAUAUGAUAGUUUUAAAAACAAGACCUGAAUACCCAUAAGAUACAAAUUUUCAAUGUUCCUUUUUAUAAAAUUCAAUGCAUAAUUAGGCACAGUUCUAAACUUGAGUUGAAAUGUAUUGAGAUCUUUCUAAAUAACAUUUAUUUUUUAAAGAGAUACUUUUAUAAAACAGUAAAUAUACAGGUAUGGGGUAAAUUAUAACGUGAUUAUCUGAAGUGUUUCUUGUUAUGUUCUCUCUUAGAAUAGCUGCCAAGUAUUUUAGUAUGUUUAAAAAAUCUUAAUAUUAGGGAGCUUAUAAUUUAGAUUAUAUGAUCAUAUUCAGAAAAGCAUUAGAUAUAUAGAGUAACUAUUGAAAUGACUAUAUUGUUAUUAAAAGUUACAGACAUAUGUAGAGGCAGAAAAAUAUUCCCUUCUUCCCUUCUGGGUUCUUCAGUUGAUCUAAUAACAUUCAGCAUAUGACAGAUUCCCAAGAUAAAGACAUUUAAUUCUGUACAUAUGGGAUCCCCACGAAGAUAUGGGAUUCAAAUUGAGGUUUAUAUACCAUCCUGACCUAAGGAAUGGGAAAGGGGCCUGCAGCUUCCAAGGGAAGGCAGGCAAUUGACUGGAAGAGGCAAAGGGCAGGUGUUGAUAAUCAGAUGUUUACCUGGCCAUUCAGAUAAGCUCUUUCAGAU